CAGUAAGCCGAGCGACUGUAAACAAUUUCGGCCCCAUGCAAGUCAGCGCCAUGCUGGCGACACCCUCGAAUUGCGGGAAAGCCCUAAAGCACCUCCACACCAAACCCGGCGGGGAAACUCCCGGGUGGCCCAUGGGAAACUAUGGGGUACGGUAACAGCGGGGGGUGAUGAUCCACGAGCUCUGCUCCUCUGGUGAAGUGGGUGAUCCGCAGCGAAGCCCCUACAGUUGAUCGGCAGCACUUGCAUGCAGUUGAAACAUGGGGAACGUUCACAGACUAAGCGAAGGUGGGUGGAGUGCGCGCAGCACUCUGCUUAAGAUAUAGUCGGGCCCCUUGGGAAACCCUGGGGAAGUAAACGUUCCGUAGGUGAACCUGCGGAAGGAUCAUUA
rnacentral:ncRNA from 1 species